AUUGAACGCUGGCGGCAGGCCUAACACAUGCAAGUCGAGCGGAUGAAGGGAGCUUGCUCCUGGAUUCAGCGUCGGACGGGUGAGUAAUGCCUAGGAAUCUGCCUCGUAGUGGGGGAUAACGUCCGGAAACGGGCGCUAAUACCGCAUACGUCCUGAGGGAGAAAGUGGGGGAUCUUCGGACCUCACGCUAUCAGAUGAGCCUAGGUCGGAUUAGCUAGUUGGUUGGGUAAGGGGCUACCUAGGCGACGAUCCGUGACUGGUCUGAGAGGAUGAUCAGUCACACUGGAACGGAGACACGCACCAGACUCCUACGGGAGGCAGCAGUGGCGAAUGUUGGACAAUGGGCGGAAGCCUGAUCCAGCCAGGCCGCGUGUGUGAAGAAGGUCUUCGGAUUGUAAAGCACUUUAAGUUGGGAGGAAGGGCAGUAAGUUAAUACCUAGCUGUUUUGACGGUACCAACAGAAUAAGCACCGGCUAACUUCGUG
rnacentral:rRNA from 1 species